rnacentral:rRNA from 1 species
GACAGAGGCCCCGAGCGUAGGCGGAAUCACUGGGCUUAAAGCGUGUGUAGGCGGAUCGUUAAGUGUCUUGUGAAAUCCCACGGCUCACCCGUGGAACCGCUGGGCAUACUGGCGAUCUUGGGCCGUUCAGGGGCGACUGGAACAAGCGGUGGAGCGGUGAAAUGCGUAGAUAUCGCUUGGAACGCCGAAGGUGAAAACAGGUCGCUGGGGACGCGCCGACGCUGAGACACGAAGCCGGGGAGCAAACGGG